ACCAGACUCCUACGGGAGGCAGCAGUGAGGAAUAUUGGUCAAUGGGCGCAAGCCUGAACCAGCCAAGUCGCGUGAGGGAUGACGGUCCUAUGGAUUGUAAACCUCUUUUGUCGGGGAGCAAGGCCCGCCACGUGUGGCGGGAAGGAGAGUACCCGAAGAAAAAGCAUCGGCUAACUCCGUGCCAGCAGCCGCGGUAAUACGGAGGAUGCGAGCGUUAUCCGGAUUUAUUGGGUUUAAAGGGUGCGUAGGCGGGACCUUAAGUCAGCGGUAAAAUUGCGGUGCUCAACGCCGUAGAGCCGUUGAAACUGGGGUUCUUGAGUGAGCGAGAAGUAUGCGGAAUGCGUGGUGUAGCGGUGAAAUGCAUAGAUAUCACGCAGAACCCCGAUUGCGAAGGCAGCAUACCGGCGCUCAACUGACGCUGAGGCACGAAAGUGCGGGUAUCGAACAGGAUUAGAUACCCCAGUAC
rnacentral:rRNA from 1 species